CUAGGAAUCUUGGGAAUGGGCGAAAGCCUGACCCAGCAACGCCGCGUGGGCGAUGAAGGCCUUCGGGUCGUAAAGCCCUUUUGUGGGGGAAGAUGAUGACGGUACCCCACGAAUAAGCCACGGCUAACUACGUGCCAGCAGCCGCGGUAAUACGUAGGUGGCGAGCGUUGUCCGGAUUUACUGGGCGUAAAGGGCGUGCAGGCGGUUUGCUAAGUCUAGGGUGAAAGCUCCCGGCUUAACUGGGAGAGGUCCUUGGAUACUGGCAGACUUGAGGAGGGUAGAGGAGAGUGGAAUUCCCGGUGUAGUGGUGAUAUGCGUAGAUAUCGGGAGGAACACCAGUGGCGAAGGCGGCUCUCUGGGCCCUACCUGACGCUGAGACGCGAAAGCGUGGGGAGCGAACCGG
rnacentral:rRNA from 1 species